rnacentral:rRNA from 1 species
GACGAACGCUGGCGGCGUGCUUAACACAUGCAAGUCGAACGGAAAGGCCCUGCUUUUGUGGGGUGCUCGAGUGGCGAACGGGUGAGUAACACGUGAGUAACCUGCCCUUGACUUUGGGAUAACUUCAGGAAACUGGGGCUAAUACCGGAUAGGAGCUCCUGCUGCAUGGUGGGGGUUGGAAAGUUUCGGCGGUUGGGGAUGGACUCGCGGCUUAUCAGCUUGUUGGUGGGGUGGUGGCUUACCAAGGCUUUGACGGGUAGCGGGCCUGAGAGGGUGACCGGCCACAUUGGGACUGAGAUACGGCCCAGACUCCUACGGGAGGCAGCAGUGGGGAAUAUUGCACAAUGGGCGGAAGCCUGAUGCAGCAACGCCGCGUGCGGGAUGACGGCCUUCGGGUUGUAAACCGCUUUCGCCUGUGACGAAGCGUGAGUGACGGUAAUGGGUAAAGAAGCACCGGCUAACUACGUG